AUGUCCACAGCAGUGGAGGAGGUGACCCACGGGGUUCUCUGCGGCCCAGUCCUCGUGGACAUGUCCAUGGCAGUGGAGGAGGUGGCCAACAUGCUUCUCUGCAGCCCCGUCCUCAUGUCCACGGUGAUGGAGGAGGUGGACCACAUGGUUCUCUGUGUCCUGAUCCUCAUGGACAUGUCCACAGCAGUGGAGGAGGUGACCCACGCGGUUCUCUGCGGCCCCGUCCUUGUGGAUGUGUCCACAGCGAUGGGGGAGGUGGCCCAGAUGGUUCUUUGUGGCCUGUCCUCGUGGAUGUGUCCACAGUGGUGGAUGAGGUGGCCUGUGUGGAGGUCGGUUCUCUGCUGUGCAGAGCGAGCGCAGACCUCCCGGACCAGCUCCUGCGGAAACCCCUCGCCCCAAAGCGCUGAAGCGCUCCGAAGAUCCCAGCGGUCGCUGGUUCCUGGUACGUCUUUUGUUUGGCCCGUCUUCCCGGUGGCUCAGUGGGGUCGGUGGCUGUCGACUCGGCAAUGCGUUUAAUGGUGCUGACUUUAAAGCAAUUGCACCCACUCUGAUCUCUUCUCUGUACAGACUCUUAAGCAACUAGUGUAAAUGUGCCAGUCCCUUAACGAUAAUGACAGUGCACUUUUCUUCCUUAGACUCAAGUAUAUACCUGAUAGAUUCUUUUUGUAAAUCCUGGACUGUAUUAUUUAACUAGCAGUGUUGUGGUCUUCACAGUACGACAGUAGAUAUCUGGUGCUGAUCUGCUUCUGAGUGGCUGAGUUGUUUAGUUCGUUUGGGGGAUUUUUGGUGAUGCCAGGAAACCUUAGGAACCUGCUGGUUGGCUGCCCUUCGUAAUGAUUGUCGUCCUCCCUAUGGAUAUUGUCUCUGUAAUGUAUGAUAAACGCCAUUCAGUUAGCGUGUCUGAGUGGAUCCUGUCAUGUAUGCUGAUGAUGCCAUGUAGAUGAAGCCACUGGUUGGAUGUGGACUCAUCCUGUUGAAUAAAACAGCUUAACUUUUCUCA
rnacentral:lncRNA from 1 species